rnacentral:tRNA from 1 species
GCCCGAGUGGCGGAACGGCAUACGCAGAGGACUUAAAAUCCUUGGAUUGAAAGAUCAUGUGGGUUCGACUCCCACCUCGGGCAC